CUCCAUACUCGUAUCUAGAGGUGACUAUUGGAAAGCCGACGAACUACUGGGAUAGCUCUAUGGAGAAGAUACAAAAAGUUGUGAAGAGAAAACUCAUAUCUGAGUAGCUAGCUAGUGCAAAACUCCGAGCAUGCAAAAUACUGAUCGGAAGAGAUCUUAAGGGAAAGUUUGCAUUCAGGGGCCUGACCGUUGGGGGGGGGGGUUCUAGCUGGACAAGAAAUCUAGCCGCUUGUGGAGACAGUCUUCGUGCGAUGUACCAUGUAGCGGUAAAGCGACCCAGUCGUCUUCAGGCUAGCUUGAACAAACAGAACUGGUACCAGCGGCUUGAAUUGGGCGAAGUACGUGACAGACGUGCAACGUCGAGUACGUAUACUUCGCCGAAGAGUGUGUUUUUCAUAAACUGGAUGUUUCGAAUACAAGUGAAAGAUCAGUAUCAGUUAUAUAAUAUUGAACUAGAUUGAUUUUAAACUGACAAAGACGACAGUAAUGAUUGGGAGGUGUGCAUUAUAUUCAGGUAGGUGAACCGUACACAGACUGCAGAUACCCACUACAAGAAAAUCACUGCUCUCUGUAGAUUCUGGUACGCCGCAAUCAUAGGGUACAUGUUUCAAGAUUAAAUAAACUGUUUCACAUAAAAAGACAUCAGAAGGCUGUCUUAUAUGCUAAGCAUCCAUUGAGGUGGAUCCCGCUCACAACUAGGCACAAAAUAAUUUGUCUGCAAUGGUUGAAUUAACACGUCCUGUGGACCAACGACAUGCAGAACAGUAUUCUUUGUCUAGUCACGUCUCACCCUGCUUUGUAGAGAGUAUAGAACCAGAUCCAAUUCCAUUUUCAUACAAGAAUAAACGCUGGUAAACACACGAACCUGUACAUCUUACGGAAUGGUACCAUUAACCUUACACGUUAAUAUUACCACAACCUACGACCCUUCAUUCCUAUCGUCCCACUCUGUCAGCUGAAUCCAGACGCUGAAGAUAUCCUGGAAAUAGCUCUUUUCGAAGAGUGGUCGAGAGUACCUGAGAACUUUUAUGUAACGCUUUGAUUUUGAGUAUGCAAUAUCAUCUUUACCGGACCGCCUUUGCUGUCCGUAAUGACCAUAGUCCAUAACGAAGUGAAAGGUCACGGAAUGCAAAGCUGUUAAGUCAGCUAUGUCAAACGUUUAUUUACGAGGGAAAAAGAUCAAUAAUUUAGACUUCAGAUCACAGUUGACUAUCAGGCGCUUGAUUAUAAUCAAAAUGAACUAAAGCUAUAGAACUACAAUAUUAAAUUAUCCUUUGAUUGUGCUCUGUAAUGUGUAUCUGUUUUCGCACCACUACAUUCUUUUAUUACAAAUAUCACUGAUACCUAUGUAUCACCACAGUGAAUCUAUGUUUAUAUAGGGUUUGAAGAAUGUGUAUUGAUGCUACUAGCUCGUUAUUGCAAUCAUUCAACAGACAAGCUAUUUAAGAUAUUAAAAAAGAAUAUAAGCCCAAUAAAUAUGAAGACGGCUAUAAUAUACAGUUCACCACUAUAAAAAGCCCAGUCUUGUUUGUUUUUUUCGAAUUGCUCUUGUCUAGGAUCACGGUUUACUGAUGACGGGUGGAAUUUUUCGAAACUAGUAUAAUUCAAUAACGAGUGGUGAUUCGAACAUCAGAUUAUGAUUCAUGUUUGUUUUUAAUAACUAAUACUUUACUUCUAUAAAAUGAUCAUGGAAUGAAAAGAGAAACAAAUAUCAUAUAUCUAACAUAACUAUGUCGGUGGUUUUAGAUUUUUUUUAUUUUCGUUCCUUUCAUUUUCAGAUAGCUCAAGAGAUUCAGAUUUGUUCCUCUUUAAAGAGUCAGUGGUCAACCGAGAUAAGUUAUACAGAGGUCGAGUACGUUAUAUUAAUACGAUUUUGGUGCCAUAUUCGAAGUACACCACUUCUCCCUGCAAGUUUUCCUACAGACCAUCUAGUGUACGAAAGCGCUCGUUUCAAGAGUCCAAUGAUAUAGAAAUCCCUAGGCGUUGCUUCCGACGACUUGGCCAGUAUAUCUUCUUAUGAAUUAAUAUGAAUACCUAUUUCAUUUUCCAUCUGUUUAAGGUAUGCAACGGUUGAAUGGAUAUGUCGUGAAAUCAGUUUGUGUACACAUGACGAAGAUCUUUAUUAUGAUGUGUUCUGUUGCCUGAGGUAUUUGGAUGAUUUUUGCCACUGAUCUUUGUUUGUGUUCGUGGAUUAUCAGUUGUUACAAGAUCCCGUACUUUGCUUGCCGCGGCUGGGUUCGACUUGUUUGCAGGUCUCAAUCUGGAAAGUCUUAAGGGCCUAAGGUGAUUACAUCUCAGAAAUUCUAAACAUUAGGUCUGAACAAAUCUUUAUUAUCUGAGUGUAAGAAUAUUUCUGCAUUUGAAAGGGCUGUUACAUACCCUUCCCAAAAGCAAUCAGUUUUCGGUGGAAUUACACUUUCUAUGAAAUGCUAAACAUUGUCAAACUGUGGUUCUGAUACAUACUGUUCCAUCUGUUGUGAUUAUCAAAUAACUUACAUCCUAAAAGUUGUCUUAACAUAACAUACUUAACCUCUGUAGACGUAAUUCUCCAAAGGGUAGAAUUUCUUAUUUAGAAAGGAAAUCUUUAACUUCAUUUUUCAAAUUAUUAAUGUUUUACUUUUGAGGUUUAUAAAAUAUUUGCCCUCAUGACGCUUCUUUUAGCAUAUGUUUGCUGGUAUGUUGGAAUUGCUACAUUUACACAUGUUUUGCUGGUCAAAUUAAACCUUGUUGAUCUCUCUGUACAUGUAGUCUUAAUGAUUUUAAAAGUCAGUAUGGAAUGGUAUAUAAAGUGUAACCACAAAGAUUUGUACCACUUUGAGUAAUAAAGUAUCGGUUUCGUCA